AUCACAAAAUGUAUUUUGUCGACAUCAUCUGUAAGUUUUGCCAGAACAGAGGAACAUCAUUUCGAAAUACAUGCUCUGAUAUUAUAAUUAAUUGGAGGCGGCAUAAAAAAACCAAGUAGUCUACAGUUACCUUUUCACCUCGUCUUCGUGUAUUGGUUGUUUGGCACAGAGACAUGUCCAUCAAAUACAUCGCUAGCUACUCACCGCUGCACAUGUAGGCCUUCUCCAUAACCCAGAUGUAGAAACCACACAGGUCACAGGACUGCCUGAUGUUGACCUGAAAAGACGAUCAGGGGUGGAAUACAUCUCCGAACCUCUUAAAAUGACACCUUCAACUGCUGCUCUGGAGCAUUCAAAAAGAGUCAAAGUGCCAUGGUCAGGAUGUAAACUCACCAAUACGGAGUACAUGCCCUUUAUGGUCUCUCUGAACUGCAUGGUGGCCGUAAGGAAGAUCAUCUCUGUUGGUGACAGCUCCUUUACCCUGGUCCUCAGCUCGUUUACCUGGGAGGUAUAGGAAGAGGAAGUGUCUCCUGAUCAGACAGGCCCUGAACCAGCGCUGGAGGAUGACGAUGUGACGCAUCACUUCCUUGUUCAGGGUGUCCUGCAGAUGCUGCCUCUCCCUCUCCUUUAGGAACACCUG